CACUGUCACUCCUACGGGAGGCAGCAUGGGGAAUAUUGCACAAUGGGCGCAAGCCUGAUGCAGCCAUGCCGCGUGUGUGAAGAAGGCCUUCGGGUUGUAAAGCACUUUCAGUCGUGAGGAAGGUAGUGUAGUUAAUAGCUGCAUUAUUUGACGUUAGCGACAGAAGAAGCACCGGCUAACUCCGUGCCAGCAGCCGCGGUAAUACGGAGGGUGCGAGCGUUAAUCGGAAUUACUGGGCGUAAAGCGCAUGCAGGUGGUUUGUUAAGUCAGAUGUGAAAGCCCCGGGGCUCAACCUCGGAAUUGCAUUUGAAACUGGCAGACUAGAGUACUGUAGAGGGGGUAGAAUUUCAGGUGUAGCGGUGAAAUGCGUAGAGAUCUGAAGGAAUACCGGUGGCGAAGGCGGCCCCCUGGACAGAUACUGACACUCAGAUGCGAAAGCGUGGGGAGCAAACAGGAUUAGAUACCCUGGUAG
rnacentral:rRNA from 1 species